CCUUCUUACACCUCUUCAACAUCUCCCAUGAGCACCCUGCACACAGACAGCACGUAUGAGUGAGGAGGACCAGGCGGUUCUCUGCUAAGGGGAGGCUCUUGAUGCAGUCGGGCCCACUGGUUCUUCUCCACUUUCCUCCAGAGUCAGGAUCCUUUCCACUUCCCCAACCGGAAAACAGAGGCACAGAGAAGAAACAGGAACGGUGAAGCAGGGGAAGGUUGCACUAAGAACUCAAAAUUCACCGGGGGUUCAGAAAACCUGUUGACGUAAAUGUGUUUCUACUUGAAUGCCUCCUCCUUCCCUUCGGGGAGACAUGUUUUUGAGAUUUUGGUGCACCCAACACCCAAGCAGUAUACACUGUACCCAAUUUGCAGUAUUUUAUCCCUCACCUGCCUCCUGCCCUUUCACCCGAGUCCCCAAAGUCCAUUGUAUCAUUCUUAUGCCUCUGCAUCCUCAUAGCUUAGCCCCUAGAUGCUGUAUUUUUAAAAAGAAUUUAUUGUUCACCAAUGUUCAUAGCAGCAUUAUUCACAAUGGACAAAAGGUGGAAGCCACCCAAAUGUUCAUCAAUAAAGAGACAGACAUGGAAAGAAACAGUUCCUCCUCCUCAAUGGGAUGUUCUGGUGUCUCCCUGUGGCACCUGGAACUGCGACAGGCCACCUGAGACCAUGGGGAGCCAGCGGGCAAGCCUGUACUGAGGAUGACAAAGCAGGAGGGCAAAAUGAACUUGGCUCCUUGAUGCCUUUGCCAGGCUGCUCAGUUAACCAGCACUGGACUCACCCUUGCCCCAGACUUUUGUUUUCUGAAAUGAUAAACAUCUGUGUGUUUAAG
rnacentral:lncRNA from 10 species